rnacentral:siRNA from 1 species
AUAGUGAUAUACUGUUGAAAA